rnacentral:rRNA from 1 species
AGCGAACGCUGGCGGCAGGCUUAACACAUGCAAGUCGAGCGCCGUAGCAAUACGGAGCGGCAGACGGGUGAGUAACACGUGGGAACGUACCUUUUGGUUCGGAACAGCACAGGGAAACUUGUGCUAAUACCGGAUAAGCCCUUACGGGGAAAGAUUUAUCGCCGAAAGAUCGGCCCGCGUCUGAUUAGCUAGUUGGUGAGGUAACGGCUCACCAAGGCGACGAUCAGUAGCUGGUCNGAGAGGAUGAUCAGCCACACUGGGACUGAGACACGGCCCAGACUCCUACGGGAGGCAGCAGUGGGGAAUAUUGGACAAUGGGCGCAAGCCUGAUCCAGCCAUGCCGCGUGAGUGAUGAAGGCCCUAGGGUUGCAAAGCUCUUUUGUGCGGGAAGAUAAUGACUGUACCGCAAGAAUAAGCCCCGGCUAACUUCGUGCCAGCAGCCGCAGUAAC